rnacentral:rRNA from 1 species
GACGAACGCUGGCGGCGUGCUUAACACAUGCAAGUCGAGCGGUAAGGCCCUUUCGGGGGUACACGAGCGGCGAACGGGUGAGUAACACGUGGGUGACCUGCCCUCAGCUCUGGGAUAAGCCUGGGAAACCGGGUCUAAUACUGGAUAUGACUCCAUGACGCAUGUUGUGGGGUGGAAAGCCUUGUGCGGCUGAGGAUGGGCCCGCGGCCUAUCAGCUUGUUGGUGGGGUGANGGCCUACCAAGGCGACGACGGGUAGCCGGCCUGAGAGGGCGACCGGCCACACUGGGACUGAGACACGGCCCAGGACUCCUACGGGGAGGCAGCAGUGGGGAAUCUUGCGCAAUGGGCGAAAGCCUGACGCAGCGACGCCGCGUGAGGGAUGACGGCCU